GAUGAACGCUGGCGGCGUGCCUAAUACAUGCAAGUCGAGCGGACAGACGAUGAGCUUGCUCCUCUGACGUUAGCGGAGGACGGGUGAGUAACACGUGGAUAACCUACCUAUAAGACUGGGAUCACUUCGGGAAACCGGAGCUAAUACCGGAUAAUAUAUUGAACCGCAUGGUUCAAUAGUGAAAGACGGUUUUGCUGUCACUUAUAGAUGGUUCCGCGCCGCAGUGGCUAGUUGGUAAGGUAACGGCUUACCAAGGCAACGAUGCGUAGCCGACCUGAGAGAGUGAUCGGCCACCUUGGAACUUAGACACGGUCCAGACUCCUACGAGAGGGAGCAGUAGGGAAUCGUACGCAAUGGGCGAGAGCAUGACGGAGCGACGCGGCGUGAGAGAUGAAGGUCUUCGGAGCGUAAAGCCCGGUUUCUAGUGAAGAACAAAUGUGUAAGUAACUAUGCACGUCGUGACGGUACCUAAUCAGAAAGCCACGGCUAACUACGUG
rnacentral:rRNA from 1 species